rnacentral:rRNA from 1 species
AGGGGGUUUGGGAUCCUGGCUCAGAUUGAACGCUGGCGGCAUGCCUAACACAUGCAAGUCGAACGGUAACAGGACGCUGGGAUCCCUUCGGGGUGACCUUGUCGCUGACGAGUGGCGGACGGGUGAGUAAUGCAUAGGAAAUUGCCUUGAAGUGGGGGAUAGCCCGGAGAAAUCCGGAUUAAUACCGCAUGCGCUCUACGGAGCAAAGCAGGCCUCUGAUUUAAGCUUGCGCUUUAAGAUAUGCCUAUGUCGGAUUAGCUAGUUGGUAGGGUAAAAGCCUACCAAGGCGACGAUCCGUAGCUGGUUUGAGAGGAUGAUCAGCCACACUGGGACUGAGAUACGGCCCAGACUCCUACGGGAGGCAGCAGUGGGGAAUAUUGGACAAUGGGCGCAAGCCUGAUCCAGCAAUGCCGCGUGUGUGAAGAAGGCCUGCGGGUUGUAAAGCACUUUUAUCGGGAAAGAAAAUCUCAGGGUUAAUACCCCUGGGCCUUGACGGUACCCGAAGAAUAAGCACCGGCUAACUCAGUGCCAGCAGCCGCGGUAAUACUGAGGGUGCAAGCGUUAAUCGGAAUUACUGGGCGUAAAGCGAGUGUAGGCGGCUGCGUAAGUCGGAUGUGAAAGCCCCGGGCUCAACCUGGGAAUUGCAUUCGAUACUGCGCGGCUUGAGUCUGAUAGAGGGAAGUGGAAUUCCAGGUGUAGCGGUGAAAUGCGUAGAUAUCUGGAGGAACACCAGUGGCGAAGCGGCUUCCUGGAUCAAGACUGACGCUGA